GUGGCUCCCUGAGGAAUGGACCAGGAAAGAGAAAGAGCAACAGAGCAAUGGCCAGACCAACAGCAGGAACGUUCUAGGUCCUGAGGUCUCUGCACCCCAUUUCCUACUGACUUUAUUACUUUGCUACUAUUGAAGUUUCUUGAUGAAAACCCUGGAAACAAGAUCAUCUCUGAUCCCAUUCACAAAACUACUUGAUUCACCCAGGAAAUGGAUCAUUGGGCUCCUAAGAUAUCUACCCAAGUGAAAUGAACCCCUUUCUAUCUUUGGCAGGAUCAGGGGGUCUCCAACUUUAGUAGCUUUAGGUUUGUAGACUUCAACUCCCGGAGUUCCUCAUUCAGCAAAGCAGGAAGUCAAAGCAGGCUGUAAUCAGUAGCUGAAGUAAGCAUAGCGUUGCCAGCCCGAAAGGAGCAGU